CCACUCCUCAGAUGGCUGUCAGAGAUCCUUCCUGGGUCAUGGCUGCAUAAAAUGCAUCCAAACAUUCAGUAUCUCCUCCCUCUGCAUGCAGACACUGAACUUUCCUCAUAGAGAUUCAUUGAUUCAAUUCAUCUCUAUGAGGAGAUGCUGAUUGGCCAGGGCUGUGUUUGAAUCAUGCUGGCUCUGCCCCUGAUCUGCCUUUUUGUCAGUCUCAGCCAAUCCAAUGGGGAAGCACUGUGAUUGGAUCAGGCUACCACUUCUGAUGA